GAUUCCCUUAGUAACGGCGAGCGAAAAGGGAACUGUCCAGCGCCAAGUCUUGACACACAAGUGUUCAAGAGAUGCGGCGUUAAUGUAUUGGUGCAUCGUACACUGUUGCCUGUGUCAAGUUCCCUUGACAGGGACUUCCAGAGCGGGUGCUAGGCCCAUAGACACAAGUGACCAGUGUAUGCAGAUCAAUGCAUUCUAGAGUCAGGUUGCUUGAGAGUGCAGCCUAAAGACGGUGGUAAACUCCAUCUAAGACUAAAUAUUACAGCGAGACCGAUAGCAAACAAGUACCGUGAGGGAAAGUUGCAAAGUACUUUGAAGAGAGAGUUCAACAGAACGUGAAACCACUGGGAGGCAAACAGAUGGAACCACGAAGUUGUGCUUUGGUCGAUUCAAUCAACGUUUCAAGUUGGCAAUGUUGAAUUUAUGAAUCUUUAUGGAGAUUGAUUCAAUAUUGUCGGAAAUUUGUAACGUUGAUGCAUUUCGUGCCAAGGAUGCAAAGCCACGUUCAAUCAGAUAGUUGAGACGGCCGUAGGAAAGAAUUCAAGAAAGGUGGUUGUCAAGUGCUUGCAUUUGAUAAUGUUAUAGUCUUGAAUUGGAACCGUGAUCUAACAAACUGAUUGAUGGAAUUUCUCCGAAAGGAGUAGAAUGACAAAUUUGCCUAUGAUGAGCUAUUAGAUGCUAUGGAAAGAUUUUGUUUAUCUUGCGGUAGGCAAAAUUGACCAUUAGUUGUUUGAUAGCUGGUGAUUUGCGUAAUUUGUUAAAACUGUGGCGCGAGUAGGUCGGUGUCCAUCUGACCCGUCUUGAAACACGGACCAAGGAGCCUAUCAUAUACGCGAGUCGCUCGGUCUUGUUUAGGCCUGGGAGGCGUAAUGAAAGUAAAGCUACGAUGCUUGAAUAAGCAGCAGUAGUGGCUCGCCUACUUCGUUUAUUGGCGAUCAGGCGAAGCUGGAGCGUAUACGAUGGUACCCGAAAGAUGGUGAACUAUGCCUGGGCAAGACGAAGCCAGAGGAAACUCUGGUGGAGGUCUGUAGCGAUUCUGACGUGCAAAUCGAUCGUCAGACCUGGGUAUAGGGGCGAAAGACUAAUCGAACCAUCUAGUAGCUGGUUCCCUCCGAAGUUUCCCUCAGGAUAGCAGGCGCUUAAUUAAAACAGUCUCAUCCGGUAAAGCUAAUGAUUAGAGGCCUUGGGGUUGAAACGACCUCAACCUAUUCUCAAACUUUAAAUGGGUGAGAUGGCUGACUUUCUUGAAAUGAAGCCAGCCAAUUGGAUGCAAGUGCCUAGUGGGCCAUUUUUGGUAAGCAGAACUGGCGCUGUGGGAUGAACCAAACGUCGAGAUAAGGCAUCAAAUGCAUACGCUCAUGAGACCCCAUGAAAGGUGUUGGUUGCUAUAGACAGCAGGACGGUGGCCAUGGAAGUCGGAAUCC
rnacentral:rRNA from 1 species